rnacentral:lncRNA from 1 species
CUUGCCUGAGAUCUUUCCUAGUAGCCAAGGGUUUGCAUUUUUUAAAGCCAGCGGCAAAGAAUAACAAAAGUGGAAAGACCUCCACGACACUGUCCUAACACAUCCUGUGUUCCAGCCUUAAACAUGACUGUUGUGGGAUAAUCUUUUUGUUCACUGUGAAGAUGUGUCUUUGCCAAGGUACCUUCUGAUUGGUUUAAUAAAAAGCUGAAUGGCCAAUAGCUAGGCAGGAAGAGGUUAGGCGGGACUUCCAGGAGAGGGAGGAACUCAGGGGGAUGAAUCUCGGCACACAAGAGACUCCAGCAAGACUUGGCACAAGUUGGACAUACAGAACAGGAGAAAGCAACCGGAUCAAAACUGCUUGGAACCAGGUCUGCUCAGCCCUGAUGUCGAAGGACAGAGUAGAAACACAACCAUGACUGCAUGACAGGCCUAACUAGGGUUAGCACUCUCACCAUUUUCCAAACACACAUCCCCUCAGAAUGAAGGAAAGAAGAGUUCAGACAUCUGUCCACCCAGAACUGCCUCCUAUCUUCAUUCCUUCUGGCAGCUUCUUCCAUUGUUUUACCUUUUCUCUGUGGAAUCAUCUUUAGAACACACUAGUGUCAGACCGGAACUCCCUACUUGAAAGUGUUUGGAUGAAAAAACUGGUCAGAACAUGUUUGAGUCCCAAGAAGCAGAAAGCUCGGAUAGUUGGCCCCACCAUGAAGACACUUAUUGUACUUGAGAAGUCGCCUGGAGAAAAUGACUGCCAAUGAUUCCAUAGCCAGACUCCAAGUCCUUCCGGCUUCUGGGUCUGGCAUUCCUAGGCUGGACUCUGCCACUUACCAAGGUAGCUGGUCUCCGGAUGUCACAGGGCCUGUCAGGAGGUGGGGUACUUUGUCCCCAUGUAUCAGCCUAAGCCAAACUGCCACCAUCUUUGGGAGACCUGUCAGUCCUGCUCCCAACUUCUCUCAUAGAAGAAAGAAGUGUGGAGGACCAUGGGACCCUCACCUGAAUAUCCAGCCACAUCUCCCAAACAGUUGUACGUAGUUGUGCUCUGAUUGCAUGUGGCUGUGGGAGGGGCUAGAGGAUAUAGUUGGGGAAGGGGGAAGGAAGUGGAUUUAGUCUGCAGCCACCGGGAAGCCAUGUCCAUCAGGAAGCCAUCAUCCCUGUGGGUGCAGACCUUCCAGGCGGCGACUUUGAGGUUACCCACACUCCUGCCUGUAUCCUGUCUCCCAUUGCUCUUAAGCUGCAGACCUGUGACAUCACCCUAACCAUCGUCAACAUAGGUUGCUUAAGAAUAAAGACUUUCCACCACAUAACCAUGGAGCCGAGAUCAUAGCUAAUGAAAUUCCAUAUUCUCCAAGCACCCUUACAUCCAGGUCAGUGCGGCAGCCCCAGGCACUGUUCUCGCUCAUGCUGUGACAGUCCAGCUGGCACCGAGUGACAAGGGCUCUUCAGUUUCCUGUUGUUGGCCACAGCAAAGGUGGAAGAUGCCCCCAGCAGAGUCACCUGGAGAUUGUGCACUCGUGAUUUUCAUC